UUCGUUCUUGAUAACAAUGAAACACUGUAAGUUGGAUGAUUUGCUAAAUGCUGAACCAAAUUAUUCCAAAUUACAGUAACAAAAGUAAUUCUAAAAUGCAGAUUAAAUGACAAGUCCCUAAUUGUUAUCAAAUCGUCGCUUCAUUGAUAUCCGAGAUAGCCAUAACCGGCCAGCCUAGACCAUCAGUCUGGAAGAACAUAGUUAUUUUGGUCAGUUACAAAAUAUGUAUUCAAGAACAGCAUCAUAAUUAGGUUUCCUUCCCAUUCUUUUGCUUUGAAUCUGAUACCAAUGCCCUGAUGCUGAGCUGUGGUUUUGUGUCAACUAGGGCACGAAGAACAGAUACAGAUACUACUACAGACUUGCCAGGGAUCCCAGAAAUUGGCUAUAAUUCAAGAAGCACAUGAAACUGCAAGGAAUUAUGAGUUCAGUAAAAUGGAAAAUACAAAAGGGACUAUUGAUUUGCAAAACUUAUCUCCACCUCUAAGGCAAUUCAGUUCCACGAUUGAAUCUGGAACAGCAUUGUUAGGACCCUAAAGUUGCUGAGUAAUUUCCUGUGGAUUGGCUGCUGUUGCUGCUCUACUGGAAGCCCUGCGAAUCUAUUAUCCAGGAAGUAUUAGCCUAGAUCAUGAGAGUUUGCUAGAAGAUAACAGUAAUGAAAUGUAGUGAAAUAUGUAUUGUUUAUCGAUUGACAGGAAGCUUUUAACUCGCUGUAAAUGAACUGAUGACACUGAACUAAAUGAAAGACAAUUCCCAGGCUAUUCGAGAGGUCUGAUCUCUCCACUUGAUGCUUCACAAUGUCUUUUUGUCCGCUUUGCUUGUUAUUUCCCCACUUCGAUUUAUAGGCAAUUCCUUACUAUAGCUUGUGACACUUUUGACCCUCUAACAAACUAAAUGAACCUUCUGGAAUAUAGAUGACCUGGUUGCAGCUAUGGGAUUGGGGGUCUAUCAAGCAUCUUUAACUGCUGCGGCCACAAUGGUAAAGCAUUUUUUGGUGGUCUAACAUAGAUUAUGCAUCGGAAUUCGAAGAAUCUGUUUUUGUAGUUUUUAUCGUCUGUCUCCUCAAUCCCUCCUGUUAUAUCCAACUGCAAACUACAAUGUCAUUAGUUCCAUAUGGGUCUAUCCACGAUAAUAAGUCAAAAUUACCACUCAAAGUUGGGGCAGCAUAAGGAAACUAAAUACAUGGUGUUAUUGAAUAAUUUAAAAGAAUGAAUGGUAUUGAAAAACGGGUCUUUUCUUAAUCAACUAGAUGUUUCACUAAAUGUAUAUUUUG
rnacentral:lncRNA from 1 species